UACGUAGGGGGCAAGCGUUGUCCGGAUUUAUUGGGCGUAAAGAGCUCGUAGGCGGCUUGUCACGUCGGGUGUGAAAGCCCGGGGCUUAACCCCGGGUCUGCAUUCGAUACGGGCUGGCUAGAGUUCGGUAGGGGAGACUGGAAUUCCUGGUGUAGCGGUGAAAUGCGCAGAUAUCAGGAGGAACACCGGUGGCGAAGGCGGGUCUCUGGGCCGAUACUGACGCUGAGGAGCGAAAGCGUGGGGAGCGAACAGG
rnacentral:rRNA from 1 species